GGAAAAACAUGAGCAAUAAACAGCAGCAAGUGAAAUUAUGAUACGCACAUAUGCGCUAGAACGCAGGUUGACUAGAGUGGGGGUCAAAAAUUUGUAACAAAAAGCAAUUUUGGAUCAUGCAUGCAGCAUUAGUAGACGUCAGAUGCAAUACCUAAGAAAUCAUACUUGAAAAAUUAGUCUCAGAUGGGUUUGAAAUGAGCACUGUCUUGUGGAUUUAAAAUUGUCUGACAAGCUAUAAAUGAAGGGUAAUGAUAGAUGGUGAGAUAUUGAGCUUAGGGGGAAAAAAGAAGCAAUACAAAUGUUUAAGCACCAGAACAUUUUGACUGAUGAGAAGCAUUUAUGAGAAUUAUGUAGUGUCUCUGAACAUUGACCAGAGGUGGUAUGGCAACCACCACCAUGCUGGGAGAAUCUGGGAGAGUGGGCUGAGAGAAUAAUCUGACAUAAAUUUUAGAAACUAGAAAUAAUGAGUAUUAUUACAAAAGAAAAAAGGCAUGAAGCAAGGCAACCAUUUUAAGUUAGGAAUAGUCUCCUGGAAUAAAACUUGCAUAACCAAUGAGUGGUUUUACACAUUUUUGGAUGUCAAGAAAUAAUAUGGACAUUUAAAGAUGGGAAAGUGAGGCAGGAAGCUUAAUUAUAUAGUAUGAAAUGGUAUGACUUAUUCUAUAGCUCAGUCACUAGAAUGAAAAAAAAAAACUGGUCACUUUUUGCAUGUGUAUCAUUACAUUAAUCUAUAUUCUAAAAUUAGUUGUUCUUAUUAUUACUGGUCAUUACUACCAUGUGAGCAAGAAAUUAACCUUGGGCAUAUGUGGCCAGUGGAAUGCACCAUGUGGCUAUUAUCCCUUUUCUGUCCUGUAGAAAUACCAGGCUGUCUGCACAGCAGAGGAGUCAUCUAUAACCACAAAGGACAACUGCACGAUUUAAAUCGGUAAAGCAGAUGAAAGAAAGAGCGAGUAUGAAUUGAUUAGCAAUGUCAUAAUUUGCCAUUUUCAAGAAAGAAGUGUGUGUUGAUGUGGGACUCAGUAGCAGCUUGCAAAUAGUCCUGCAGAAGAAAGGAAAUUUAAUUUCAUAUCCUUAGUGUAAUAGGAUGCUGAACAACACAAGGACAGUGAAACCUCCACUGCAGGCUCAGCAAAGAAGUCCAGGAAGAUAUUUUCAAGAGUCAUCAGAUUUUCACACUAAAUGAAUUUUAGAAUGUAAGCAGCACUCAUGGCUUGCCCCAGAAAAAUCUGUGAUUUCCCUUUCCCUUCUACCACCGCCACAAAAUGUACAUAUUGUCUUUGCAUUAAAUGGCGAGGAGCACAGCUGAGUUAAAAUCAUAAAUAGCACAGGUUUAUGUGACACAGGCUAUGUGAUAGUUACAACAUGUAACGGUGGUGGAUCUGAUUUCUGAUUUUAUCACUUCCUCUCGCGUGUAUUUGAAGAAGUAGUUGAUCUGCACUUUGUGUGUCUCAUCAUGUAUAAUCUGGAGAUAACUGUAAAACUCACACAAGAUCCUUCAAAGCAAUGUAACUACCUUAAAAAGCCUUUAGUUUUCUUCUUCUCACUAUACAGAAUUUGAUGCAUUCUUAAAAUAGCAAUCAGCAGCCACAGUUUCAUUUUUCCAGGACAAGAGACCUACACACACUGCAUGUGUGCAACAGAACUUGCUUUUAUUAAAACAGUGUACUGUGAGCUAUUCUGAUGAAAGUCUUAUCAACGCCCAGGAAAGCUGGGCCACGUAUGAUCAAGCUGGAUGAGGGCAUGAAGACUGGUUUAAAAGCCACAGUAUUGCCUCUUCCUGUGUGAAAGACUCGUGAGAAAUUUUACCUCUGCUCUGAGAAGCAUUCUGGAGAGAAUAAGUCAAGGCACAGCUUGCUCUGCAACCAUGACGAUCACUGUAACUACAACAUGCCAAGCUUGAAAGUGUUGGUCUGCAGUAGAAAUAGAAACACUGUCUUGUACAGAACAUAGAGUUCUUGUCAUGAUGGCAGGGAUUAAUCUGUAUUUGCAGGCCAUUAUUACCAGGCUCAAAACAGAAGUCCCAGUUCAGCAAAACAAAGUGCUCUAAAUUAUCUUAAUUCACAGAAAACUGUUUAAUCUUCAGAGUGACUUCUUUAUUAAGAAAUCAAUAAUCCAUUCAUCUGGCAAGUCAACCUCUUAUGCUAACUGCAGGAUUUUAAGACAAAUAACUGCAUGCUUGAUGGCCCACAACAUCCUGUGAAAUGUCUCAUGAAGGAACAGCUACUCAACCAUAUAAAAGCUCUGGAGAUUCCCUUCAUUCGGUCUUUUAUCGUAAUAUCCAAAAAGUGGUAGCAUCACAGUGCUGAUAUUGCUGCUUAACAUGCAAAUUCAUGUAGUCUCUUUGCACCUGUCUUCCCCUCUGUUUUGCUAUUUAUGUCCUGUUUCUUGCCUUCUACCCAGAUUGCAAGUUUUCUAAAGCAUUAACUAAAUGAGAGCUAGACAGUGUCCAUACCUCCUGGGUGCUAUAACAUGUGAAUAAUAAUUAUGCUAAUACUAUCUAUUCAAGAGAAAAACCGGGACUGGCAGUCAGAGACCAAUGUAGUCAGAUGAGCAAAUAUUAUAACGAUACCUUAAAAUGACACUGAUGUUCUGCCAGGGCAACGUAAGUGACAUCAGAGGACUUUGGAAAUUUAAUGUUACUCUAGUGAGUAAGACAGAAAAAAACAAAACAAAACAAACAAACAAAAAAACAGAAUAAGACCAUGAAUUAGGAAAUUAGGAAGCAUUUCGUUAGCUUUGCCAUUUCAGGUGGAGUACUGAGAAGAGGCAAAGGCAAGCAUCACAUGUAAACCACAGGAAUUCAUAUAACACAUCACCUCAGUUUUACUUCGUCUGAAUUGCAGAGAGAAAUCAAAAUACUUUAGUGAAGUUUCACAUCACUGGGAUAUGGGAUUUUUAAAUUACAAUGGUAUUAAUGAUACAUUCCUGGGAUGCAUUAUCCUUUAGAGUAUCCUAAAAUAACAACUAUUUCCACAGGCAGUAAUCCUUGAGGAGAGAAGAGCUCACUGACAAGGUUCAAACUGAUGAACUGUAAUGCAGGUUUGCAUUUAUUGACCCUUUUUAAUCUGGAUUUUGGAGAUGCUACUACUGUGAAAUUCCAAUAUAGGCAAAAGAUUCACAAAUUAUUAUUUGAAAGAUAUCGGGGAAGAUAACAUAAAAUGAAAAAUCUUAAUCUCAGUGAUUUAAAUUCUGAACCAGUUUUAUCCUAGACGUUUAACUGAGAAAACUGGAAAAAGACACAUUUCAGAGGUGCAAUCACAAUGGCAGUGUCAUAACCUAAAACCAGCCUUACAAAUCCUGUAACCAGUUUUGUUCUGGGCAUUUUGCUGGGAUGUGAAAUGGAUGUUUCUAAUUUCUGUGGCGGCAUAUUUCACCAUUUAACUCUGACCAGUUUCAAUGGAAAGAGAACUGAUUUGGUCACUUAGUUACUUGAAAUACUUAACCAAAAGUUUCUGUUACACUGGAAGCAAGUCUCUCAUGAAAAGCUUUGUCCAUCUUAAAAGAGAGCUCACAAAGCAAGUGAGACAUGAUGGUGGCCAUUAGAGAGUGGAAAGAUGAAUGUGAAUUGCUGCCUGUGAAGUACUGCCUCGUCUGUCUCAGGAGAGCAGCUGCCAAGCACACUCAAGAAAGAAAUCUAAAAUCAGACAUCUGUAUGUGCAUUGCGUCCACCAUGUUUGCUCGGAGGAGAGAGAACCAUAUGAAGCAAGACAGCAAAGGUGAAAUCCAGCAAGACAUCCUACUUUAUUGCCAUGGCAACCCCACCCUGAUGAAAAGUAGAAAAACAAUAAAACAUCUUUAGAAAGAAAAAAAUAAAUCAGUUGCAUCUACCAAGGGAAUUCAGGAAGAUGCAAUUUAAGGAAGAGCUUAACAUUUCCACCGCUUGGUAACUAUUUGAAACAACAGCAUGGCUACAGCUUUUGCAAGCUGCAGAGUUGAAACAUAUUGUACUUGAUAAAUUAUUUAGUUUGCUUAGCAGCUGAAUUCUGAAUUAUAAGUGAAAGCUGUAGUUACACAUUAUAAUCUUUAAUGUUGCUGUAGCCUAACAGAAUAUUAUUAUUAUGAUUUUCCUUGAUGCCUUCUGACAUCUGUCACCCUUUAGUACUAUAAUCACCUUUCCUGCAUUUGACUUUCAAGAAUGGAUGAAUGUGGAUGCAUGCAUGUCUUAUGCAAGCGAAUGUCUGAGUCUCUAUGUGUGCACUUAGAAAGAGUUUCAGGCUUUGAUGACUGCUGUAUCUAAAUUCAUUAUUGAUUUUCAUGUGAAUUGAAGGAGAUUAUGUACAGGCUCCAUAUGGACCCUGCUGGGGUCAGGUAUCAGAAAUAAAACAUCUGCUGGUAAAGAAAGCAGUGACAUAUCUUGCACCACAGUAAUGAUGAGGAACCGGCAUAAUAACGAAAGGAUGCUCUGUGCAAGCUGCCAAAGGGGCAGCGCUAGGACAGAUGGAAAAGGCUUGUGCAAGGCAGUUUGUAUGCACAGCUCCUGUGGGAGUUAAAACUGCUCUAACUGCCUCCCUCCAGAAGGCUCCUGAAAUGGAAUAGCCACACCAAUAUUGCCUGCCCACUCUCUGCACUGAAGUCUUCCAGUGCAGCAGAGGCUUUACUAGUUCAGGAAAGCGUGCUGUUCUCCCUCAGCCUUAGGGAAUCUGAUUUAGUAUAGUUAUGCGUGCUAAACAUAAUCCUUUAAAUUUCAUUUGUUAUUUGCAAAUGUGUUUGGUGUUGGUUUUUUUUUUUUUUUUGGUAACUAAUUUGCAUGGGCAAUGGAUAUUCUAAUUCUGUAUGAGCAAAUGAGAAAAGCAAUAAGACUAUCUUACAAAAAGGCAUUUUGAAAACUAAAUACAUUAUUUUCUGUUUUAAACAGCAUACAUCUGCAUGGCUGUUACUGUUAGUAUUAACUGUAGCUAAGGCAUUAUGGUGGCAUCUGGAGAUCUUAUUUCAGGUUAUAAUUCCUAUAUACAAGGUGGUAGAUACAUCAAAGAACAGAAAAAGAAGAAUUUAACUUACAGUAGGUUAUGUAUGUGGGAACUGUUUGUAGAUCACUUGUAUGCCAGAUAAGAACUUUACACAACCACUCCCCUGUUUCUGUAGAUCAGCCUUCCUCCUUAAUCCUGUCUGUUCAUAUCACAUGUGAUAUUUCUCCCUGGCUCUUCAGCACUCACUCAGAUGCUGAUGCCCCAAAGUGGAGAGAGAGGGAAGUGUUCUCCAGGAACAGCUCAGAAGCACAAGUCUGCCCCACCACAUAAAAUACGAAUCUCUGCAAUGGCACUGUGCAACAGCAAUGGCAGAUGUUCAAAAAGGAGAUAUAAAACACAGUCAAUUCCAUGGAAACAGUCUGGCAGGUGAGCAAAUACAUAUUCAAAUGCAACAUCAAAUCAUAGAAUAAAAUCACAGAAUCACAUAGACUAGAAAAGACCUUCAAGAUCCUCAAGUCCAGCCAUCAGCCUGGCGUACCAAAUCACAUCACUGAACUAUGUCACUUAGUGUCACAUCCACACGUUUCCUACAUGCCUUCAGGGAUGGUGAUUCCACCACUUCCCUGAGCAGCCCAUUCCAAUGCUUGAACACCUUUUUCCAUGAAAAAAUUCUUUCCCACAUCCAAUCUAAAAUUCCCUUGAUACAUUGUGAGGCUGUUUCCUUGUAUCUUAUCAUCUAUCAUCUGAGAAAAGAGACUGACACCCUUCAUGCUGCAAUCUCCUUUCAGGUAGUUGUAGAGAGUGAUGAAGCCUCCCCUCAGCCUUCUCUAGACUAAACAGCCCCAGAUCCCCCAGCUGUUCCUCAUGACUCAUUUUAUAGUCCCUUCACUGGCUUUGUAGCUCUUCUCUGCACAUGCUUUAGCAACUCAAUAUCCUUCCUGUAGUGGGGGACCCAGAAUUGAAUGCAAUACCUGAAGUUUAAUCUCUUAGUAACUGGAAGGAUGAAGAACUCUGUACUGCAGUAAAUUCAUUACUUUU